rnacentral:rRNA from 1 species
AUGGACCUUCACAAGAAACUCACUGCUGUUAAUUUAACUGAUGAUCUAGUGGUUGAUAUCCUCUCCCGGCUGACGUACAAGUCAUUUUGCCGCUGCAAGUGUGCCUAUAAGGCCUGGUCUGCCUUUUCCUCUGACCCAGACUACCGCGAGAAGCUGCCCAAAAAAGUAACCACUGGACUUCUGUACCAAGGUCACAAUAAGUCUGCUAUCCCGCUUGUAAGCCUGUGCCCAGAUGAUGGGGAAAUAGACGGAAUUCUUGCUGAUGUGCCACACUAUGAGCAUUUAGAAUUCCUCGACUGCUGCAAUGGUUUAGUCCUUUUUCUACAUCUUCAAUUUUCAUCUGAACAUGUCCAUGGUUUGAUACUUGGCACCAGCAAACUUGAGAUAUUCCGGUCUGAAAGUUCGACAUGGCUUGAGGAUGAUACCUUGGACCGAGAUAUAAAUAUUUCUGGGCGAACACACUUAUUUGUUAAUGGAAUGUUGUAUGUGUCUGUUGGGUAUGAAGUUUUGAUGUUCGAAGGCCUGGAGGCAAUGAGUGAUGGCAUACCGCCCUAUCAUCAGAUCAUAAGUUUGCCGCCGGAAGCUUUGGCAAAUCUUCAGGGAUCUUACACUAUGCAUUGCCACAUGAGAAUGGUCGCACGAUUGUUGUUUGGACAUUGGAUGAUUUUGGAUGAGUUUGUUCACUACGACGAUGGUGGCGAUGGUGGUGAGGAUAAAUGGUUUUGGAACUGCGAUUAUCGGAUUGUCGACCUCGACUUGGAGAGAGGGCUUGUUUUCCUCCAUGACCAGAAGGCAAAUAAGCUUCUUUCAUACAAUAUCAGUGGGGGGAAACUCAACGAGAUACAAGACGCCUUUGGGUGGGAUCGAUACUAUGUCUAUGUACCAUGCUACUCAGAGCUUCCAGCGCAAGAACCUUCGGUUCAGUGA